rnacentral:rRNA from 1 species
UACAGAGGGGGCAAGCGUUGUUCGGAAUUACUGGGCGUAAAGGGCGCGUAGGCGGCCGCCUAAGUCAGACGUGAAAACCCUCGGCUCAACCGGGGAACUGCGUCUGAUACUGGGUGGCUUGAGUUCGAGAGAGGUGGGUGGAAUUCCGAGUGUAGAGGUGAAAUUCGUAGAUAUCAAGCGGAACACCGGUGGCGAAGGCGGCCUUCUGGACAGUGACUGACGCUGAGACGGCGAAAGCGUGGGGAGCAAACAGGG